rnacentral:rRNA from 1 species
AGCUGGUACCUUUGGUGCCCGCGUUGUAAUCUCGAGACGCGUUUUCCGCGCGGCGCUAUGGACAAGUUCCUUGGAACAGGACAUCGUAGAGGGUGAAAAUCCCGUACUUGCCAUGGAUGCACCGUGCUUUGUGAUACGUGCUCAAAGAGUCGAGUUGUUUGGGAUUGCAGCUCAAAAUGGGUGGUAGACUCCAUCUAAAGCUAAAUAUCGGGGAGAGACCGAUAGCGAACAAGUACCGUGAGGGAAAGAUGAAAAGCACUUUGGAAAGAGAGUUAAAAGUACGUGAAAUUGUCGAAAGGGAAGCGCUUGAAGUCAGCCAUGCCGCUCAGGACUCAGCCUGGCUUUUGCUUGGUGUACUUCCUGGGUAGCAAGUCAGCAUUGGUUUGGACCGUCGGAGAAGCAUGGCAGGAAUGUGACGCCCUCGGGCGUGUUAUAGCCUGCCAUUGGAUACGCCGGUCUAGACCAAGGAACGCAGUGCGCCUUACGGCGGGUCUUCGGACACCUUCGCACUUAGGAUGCUGGCGUAAUGGCUUUAAGCGGC